rnacentral:lncRNA from 1 species
GGAAAUUAAGGAAUGGGUCAAAGACAAGCCUAAACCCAACCUUGACCUAACUACUUUUUUCAAUCUUGGAACCUUAGAAAGUCCUAAGCUAAUCCAGAUUGGUUCAGACCUCACCCCAAACCAACGGAAUGACAUGGUUGCGCUAUUAACCCAAUUCUAGGAUGUAUUUGCAUGGUCUCACGAAGACAUGGUGGGUUUGUCCACUGACAUUGUCCUU